rnacentral:rRNA from 1 species
GAUGAACGCUGGCGGCGUGCCUAAUACAUGCAAGUCGAGCGAACGGACGAGAAGCUUGCUUCUCUGAUGUUAGCGGCGGACGGGUGAGUAACACGUGGAUAACCUACCUAUAAGACUGGGAUAACUUCGGGAAACCGGAGCUAAUACCGGAUGAUAUUUUGAACCGCAUGGUUCAAAAGUGAAAGACGGUCUUGCUGUCACUUAUAGAUGGAUCCGCGCUGCAUUAGCUAGUUGGUAAGGUAACGGCUUACCAAGGCAACGAUGCAUAGCCGACCUGAGAGGGGGAUCGGCCAAACUGGAACUGAGACACGGUCCAGACUCCUACGGGAGGCAGCAGUAGGGAAUCUUCCGCAAUGGGCGAAAGCCUGACGGAGCAACGCCGCGUGAGUGAUGAAGGUCUUCGGAUCGUAAAACUCUGUUAUUAGGGAAGAACAUAUGUGUAAGUAACUGUGCACAUCUUGACGGUACCUAAUCAGGAAGCCACGGCUAACUACGUG